GGCAAGAUGUCCGAGCGGUCUAAGGAGCCAGACUCAAGCUUAUUGAGCUUCGCCAUCCAAUGGCGCGUCUUCUGGUCUCGAAAGAGGCGUGGGUUCGAAUCCCACUCUUGUCA